GGCGCUAAUAGGUCGACUUGGAGGUUGUGCCCUUGAGGCGUGGCUUCCGGAGCUAACGCGUUAAGUCGACCGCCUGGGGAGUACGGCCGCAAGGUUAAAACUCAAAUGAAUUGACGGGGGCCCGCACAAGCGGUGGAGCAUGUGGUUUAAUUCGAUGCAACGCGAAGAACCUUACCUGGUCUUGACAUCCACAGAACUUUCCAGAGAUGAAUUGGUGCCUUCGGGAACUGUGAGACAGGUGCUGCAUGGCUGUCGUCAGCUCGUGUUGUGAAAUGUUGGGUUAAGUCCCGCAACGAGCGCAACCCUUAUCCUUUGUUGCCAGCGGUCCGGCCGGGAACUCAAAGGAGACUGCCAGUGAUAAACUGGAGGAAGGUGGGGAUGACGUCAAGUCAUCAUGGCCCUUACGACCAGGGCUACACACGUGCUACAAUGGCGCAUACAAAGAGAAGCGACCUCGCGAGAGCAAGCGGACCUCAUAAAGUGCGUCGUAGUCCGGAUUGGAGUCUGCAACUCGACUCCAUGAAGUCGGAAUCGCUAGUAAUCGUGGAUCAGAAUGCCACGGUGAAUACGUUCCCGGGCCUUGUACACACCGCCCGUCACACCAUGGGAGUGGGUUGCAAAAGAAGUAGGUAGCUUAACCUUCGGGAGGGCGCUUACCACUUUGUGAUUCAUGACUGGGGUGAAGUCUAAGGGGGACCCCCCCAAAAAAGCAAGCCGACCCCCCGGUU
rnacentral:rRNA from 1 species